AAAUCACCUAAAUAGUUCAGUUGUUUUUAUAAAUACAUAACCUAUUAGAGAUAUGCAGAAAUUUCUCAACAAAAAAAAUUAAGUUUUCAUAAAUACUCCAAAACCAAAAACAGGGAGAUUUAUUAUUUAAAAAUUUGACAAUUCUAUCCUUCCUUACUAAGUAUGUCAUUCAUCAUUUUCUUAGUUGGCAAGAUGAAAUCCAGAGUGACCGCCGGCAUUAUCAGAUGACGAGGCAGCGGUGGUGUCUUUGAGAGCAGCGAAUCUAUCCAGCAGAUCGUCUUGAUCAGGAGCAGUUGUUUUGGGUUUUGUGGAAGAUUGAAAAUUAAUUGGAUUUUUAUCAAAAGAAGAAGGCGGUGGAGAUAUGAGAGUUUGUAACCGGCGAUCGAGGCGAUGGAAGAGAUAAGAGAAUUUUUUAUUGAAUUUCGGUUUAUGAUUACCAAACCAAAACAUGACAAAUCAAGGAGGGAGCAACUUGACUUUGAAAUCAUGGCCUCUAACAGGAGUGAUGUGCUUCUUCAACAUCAAAGAUUGAUGCAAUCUCCUCGGCUGCUCAUGAGUAAAUAUCAGCUACAACAACAACAACUGACUUUUCAGACGCAACAAAACUUAGACAUCAUAAUCUAUUAAUAAUUUGAAACUUAAAAAACUGGGCAUGUUUCUUAAUAACAAGAAUAUGGGUCUUGGGAAGGAUAUCUCCUUAAAUUCUAGUGACAUGCUAAGGAAUUUUGGAUCAGCAAUGUAAGAUAAACCAGUAAAUGUAUAUUUUAAAUUUUUAGUUGACAUUUGGUUGAUUUUUCUGUUGA